UGUGCACUGGUCGACACAGACUCGAUGGGUCGAAGGGCCUGUUUCCAUGCUGUAUCUCUAAAGUCUGACAGUGCACC